rnacentral:misc_RNA from 1 species
UCCGGUUUAUCACCGGCAGUCUCCUUAGAGAGCUCGGCAUUAUCCGCUAGCAACUAAGGACAAGGGUUGCGCUCGUUGCGGGACUUAACCCAACAUCUCACGACACGAGCUGACGACAGCCAUGCAGCACCUUGCACUCUGCUUGGUUUUACCCAAGAGGCUCCAUCUCUGGAGUUGUCAGAGGCAUUCUAGCCCAGGUAAGGUUCUUCGCGUUGCGUCGAAUUAAACCACAUGCUCCACCGCUUGUGCGGGUCCCCGUCAAUUCCUUUGAGUUUUAAUCUUGCGACCGUACUCCCCAGGCGGGAUGCUUAAUGCGUUAGCUGCGCCACUGAAGGGUAAACCCACCAACGGCUAGCAUCCAUCGUUUACGGCGUGGACUAC